AUGCCGAAAAGAAAACGAGAAACCACCGACGAUCCCAAUCCACACCGCCGGCCGCUCGGCGUCACCGCCACCGCCUCCCCUCCACCGGGAGCGGGAGCGGGAGCGAGCGGAGAUCCCGCCCCCGGCCCGCUGGACGGACAGUUGAUACAGCCAGCUAUGGAUAAUAUCACUCAGAUUCUAAAAGAUGCUCAGGAUCCGGAUAACAACAUAAGGCUUGUAGCAGAAUGCAAACUCAAGCAGCUCCAGGAGCGUAAUCGUCCCAACUUCCUCCUGUCAUUAUCAGCAGAGCUCUCGAGUGAUGCAAGUCCGCCCGAGUGCAGAUGCCUUGCUGGCAUUAUGCUGAAGAAUUCUGUGGAAGGAAAGUAUUCUGAAGAUAACAGCAUCCUCAUCGAACAAUGGAACAACCUGGAUCAACGUAUCAAAUCCCAGAUUAAGGAGUCAUUGCUGAUAACACUAGGAUCUUUGGCUCCUCAGGCGAGGCAUGCCUCAUCACAGAUUAUUGGCAGGCUUGCAUAUAUUGAGAUACCCUCCCAGGGGUGGCAAGACCUCAUUGGCAGAUUACUGCGCAACAUGGCACAGCAGGGUGCAUCUCCUGCUACACUAAAGCAAGCAACUCUAGAGGCGCUGGAGUAUGUGUUUGAGGAGAAGACCUUGAGGUUCGAGAAAGACACAAUUAAUGGUGUUCUGGAUGCCGUCAUCCGGGCAAUGAACCACCAGGCAGAGAAAAGUUUUCAAGUCCGUGUUGCGGCGGUUAAAGCUCUACAGAAUGUUCAUAAGUUUGCUGACUUUGCAAGUGAUGAUGAUUGCAGAAAUCGUAUAAUGACUGCAAUAUCUGAUGCAGCUAAAUCCGAUGAAGCAGUGGAGGUCAAGCAUGCAGCAUUCGGCUGCCUUACUGCAAUUGCAUCCAAAUAUUAUAUGGAGUUAGAACCUUACAUGGAAACCACACUCAGCCUUACAACUGAAGCUUUGAGCUUGGAAGGAGGUGUGGACGAAACAGUUGCGCUCGAAUGUAUCGAGUUCUGGAGCACUAUUUGUAGAAAAGUGAUUAAACUCCGAGAAAAAAGAAAACGCUUUCCUCGUGUUAUAUUGACCGCAGAUUGUCACUUCCUUGAGAAUCCCCUUUGUUCACUUGUUCCACUUCUGCUACAAACUCUGUCGUUACACCAAGAAAGAGAUGUUGAUGAACUGAACAUCUUCAUGAGUGCUAUGACAUGCCUAGGCCUCGUCGCUAGAACUAUCGGGGAUGCAGUUGUCCCAUUUGCAAGGCAGUUUAUCGAGGGUAACAUCAAAGUGGCAGAUUGGCGUAGUCGCAAGACAGCUAUUUCUGUACUAGGCGUUAUCCUUGAAGGGCCUUCUAUUGAAAAACUCGCUCCUGUGGUCGGUUUGUUGAUGGACAAGAUGGAAGACCCACACAUGGAGAUAAGAGGCACCGCUACAUGCACUCUUGGGCAGGUGUUUGAGCUUCUGCAUUCUCCAGCUCUUGAUAAAAGAUUUUUCACAAAUGAAGACUUUCCUCGCAUCAUGGCUGCGUUGUCAAAGAGGGGUAAAGAUGUUCCAGAAGUGUCCAAGGAAGUCUGUGAAGCUAUAUAUUUUCUUGCCCGAGGUUAUGAUGUGCCAAUCUCAUCCGAGGUAGACCAUUCAAAAAAGAAAAUCUCAUCUGAACUUUCACCUUUUCUUAGUGGUGUUAUCGAUGCUAUCCUUUCUGCUUCGGAACUUGAUAAGAAGACCCCUUUCGGGCUUCCUGCAUCUGCAUCUGCUUAUGGCGCAUUGAUUGAGAUUGUGAGAGUAAGCAACAUGUGGGAUUUUGAAGCUGUAAUAGCUAUUAUGGAUUUGAUGCCUCGUAUCAUGCGAAGAUUAAACACAGCGCUUGAUGCCAAAGCAAUUUCAUCAGAUGACAAGACUAACAGGCAAAAUCUUCAGGCGUUGCUGUGUGACGUACUGCACGCCAUAAUCGAGAAACUGGGGAAUUCGCUUCACGCGGACAAGGUUAGGGAGUCUGCUCAGUCUAUGUCGCUUCAGUUUUGCCGUGUCCUGACCUGCGACUGUUCUACCGCAUGUGAUAAAGCAGCGCUUGCUAUUGGUGCUCUGGCUCGUGCCGUCGGUCCAAAGUUUCUGGAUCACAUGCCAAUAUUUUUGCAGUAUUACAGCGUGAAGCUAUUCUCCCCUAUCUAUUUAGAGGUGAUUGGCACUAUCUUUCAUGUCUUGGGAGAUGAAAUCCUGCCAUGCUGUGAUGAUAUGAUGGACGUUCUUUACGAAGGUCUCUCAAAACCCAAGCUUAAACCUCAAAUUUUGGCAUGCUUUGGAGAGAUCGCUCUUGCUAUCGGCAAGCAUUUUGAGGAGUACCACCUGCAGGCUGUUAGGAAAAAGCUGAAAGAAGCUGCUAACCCAAGAUAUUAUGCCAAUGUCUCUGAUGAGGAUAAGGUUGAUUACGGUAACCAGCUUAGACAGGGAAUAUGCAAGGCUUACUCUGGCAUAUUGCGGGGUAUAAAGGACCAAAAAUCUGGGUUGAAGGUAGCAGCGGAUCUAGUUGAGUUCAUUGAAGCUGUCUCUGAGGACGAGAGCAGGGAUGCAAGGGUGACAUCCGCUGCAGUUGAUGUGUUGGAUCAGUUUGGUUUCAUGGCGGAGUCAUGGAAACAGGGACUGAUUUCGGAAUUAGGGAGGUAA
rnacentral:rRNA from 1 species